rnacentral:tRNA from 1 species
UGGGGUAUCGUCCAAUGGUUAGGACAUCGGUUUUUGGUGCCGAGUAUGAGGGUUCGAAUCCUUCUACCCCAGCCA